rnacentral:rRNA from 1 species
GCAAGUCGAACGAGAACGGGACCUUCGGGUCCUUAGUAAAGUGGCGCACGGGUGAGUAACGCGUAGGCAAUUUGCCCUCAGCUGGGGAAUAACUUCGGGAAACCGAGGCUAAUACCACAUAAUGUCGGAGGACCGCAUGGUCCACCGAUCAAAGCUCCAGCGGCUGAGGAUAAGCCUGCGUUGGAUUAGCUAGUUGGUGAGGUAAUAGCUCACCAAGGCGACGAUCCAUAGCGGGUCUGAGAGGAUGAUC